GUAGUAUUCCCUCCGUCCCAAAAUUCUUGUCUUACAUUUGUUUUCUUGUCUUUCAUUUGUUUAGAUACAUAUGUAUCUAACACUAAAAUGUAACUAGAUACAUCUGUAGACAAAUUUAAGACAAGAAUUUUGGGACGGAGGGAGUACAAA
rfam:Triticum aestivum genome assembly, contig: Triticum_aestivum_CS42_TGACv1_scaffold_640953_T_5BS-0.172843_5BL-0.108569